UGGGGAAUAUUGCACAAUGGGCGCAAGCCUGAUGCAGCCAUGCCGCGUGUGUGAAGAAGGCCUUCGGGUUGUAAAGCACUUUCAGCGAGGAGGAAGGUGGUGGACUUAAUACGUUCAUCAAUUGACGUUACUCGCAGAAGAAGCACCGGCUAACUCCGUGCCAGCAGCCGCGGUAAUACGGAGGGUGCAAGCGUUAAUCGGAAUUACUGGGCGUAAAAGCGCACGCAGGCGGUUUGUUAAGUCAGAUGUGAAAUCCCCGGGCUCAACCUGGGAACUGCAUUUGAAACUGGCAAGCUAGAGUCUCGUAGAGGGGGGUAGAAUUCCAGGUGUAGCGGUGAAAUGCGUAGAGAUCUGGAGGAAUACCGGUGGCGAAGGCGGCCCCCUGGACGAAGACUGACGCUCAGG
rnacentral:rRNA from 1 species